CACGUGGGAACCAGACUUAAGCAAGGAAGGUCAAAGUGAAAUGAAAGCAGCAGUGCUCAUCUCAAGCUUUGUUCACAGUUCUGCAAGAGGAGAAGCACUGUGGAGAAAGUGAUGGCUGGCUCUGUGCCAGUUCCUCAGGUGGUCCCACUUGGAAUCCCUCUUCCAGAGAAGGCUAACCAUGAAGUAGACGCAAAUGCUCUUCUAGAAAUGAAAUCAGGUCUGAGUAAGAGCUUUGAAUCCAGGUAAAAACUUCUCUUAGGUGUCCAUGUGAAACUUUGAGCCUCGAGACUUUUGUUUGCGUUUUGUGAUGAUUUUGAUGAGAACAAAUUUCGUUAAGGAACGUAGAAAAUUAACCCAGGUAUUUUGAUGCACCA